rnacentral:rRNA from 1 species
UACGUAGGGGGCAAGCGUUGUCCGGAUUUAUUGGGCGUAAAGCGCUCGCAGGUGGUUCGAUGCGUCGUGCGUGAAAGACCCCGGCUCAACUGGGGAGGGUCGUGCGAUACGGUCGAACUGGAGGCCAGUAGGGGGAUGCGGAAUUCCUGGUGUAGCGGUGAAAUGCGCAGAUAUCAGGAAGAACACCAAUGGCGAAAGCAGCUUUCUGGGACGGUACUGACGCUGAGACGCGAAAGCGUGGGGAGCGAACAGG